GGGGAACUCUGGGCUCAGGCAGACAGAAUUCUGUAUCCCCGGACUGCGGCCCCGCCCUGGCUGGAUACCCGGUUUCAACAGGCGCUGGCGUCCCCACGGGCCCACACAGGGUCGAGCUGCGUGGCCGGCCACACCCAGCCCCAGGUCGCUCGCUCGCUCCCACUGAGGGCGGCAAAGGUCAAGAGAGCUUGCAGGAGACCACGCCCCACUCGGGCUCUGCUCUUCCCCUCCCUUCGCCGGCCCCACCCAUCGUCUGCUCCACGCGGCUCCCUCCUGCUGCCCAGACCUCAGCCCUCGAAGAGCUGUGCUGCUCCAGAUACUUGCCCCAGGGUGGCUGCCCAGGGAACUACUCGUGCAGUCCUGAGUGGACUGGAAAGCCUUUCGUCUUUGCUUGAACAGCAGUCGUGCUGGGAAUAAAGCAGUCCCCUGGCUUUGGCGCCUCCCACAGUACCGCACUGAAAAUCCUUGGGUGCUUGCUGGUAUGCCCAGGCCAGGCCUAAGGAUUUCCUGUCCACAGCCUGGACACAACAUAAUCACUCCAUUACUGUAGUCCUAGAGAUGCAAUAUGGACCAUGAGAACCUUUGUCAAACCUGAAGUUUGAAGCCAAGAGUAGCAGCCCAGUCUUUAUGGAUGCAGCUAUCAAGGUGUGAUCCCGUGACUUAAUGGCAGCCUUUACUUCUCUGCCAGGCCAGAGAAGCUGAGAACCUGAUGGCAGAACCCUGAAGAAGAACGAGGUGGACAUGGAGAGAAUAUGAAAAGAGCAGAGAAUGGAGCCUGGCAUUUAGAUGCUCUGAAGACCCCUCCAUCAUGUUUUUUUUUUUUUUUUACUUAGACUUUUAACUAGUUUUUAUUUAUUCAUUUUGUGUGCAUGUGUAUGGAUAUGUGUAUGCACACACAUCACAGC
rnacentral:lncRNA from 1 species